CCUACGGGAGGCAGCAGUAGGGAAUAUUGGACAAUGGGCGCAAGCCUGAUCCAGCCAUGCCGCGUGAGUGAAGAAGGCCCUCGGGUUGUAAAGCUCUUUUGUUGGGGAAGAAAAGCAUCCGGUUAAUACCCGGGUGUUCUGACGGUACCCAAAGAAUAAGCACCGGCUAACUUCGUGCCAGCAGCCGCGGUAAUACGAAGGGUGCAAGCGUUACUCGGAAUUACUGGGCGUAAAGCGUGCGUAGGUGGUUUGUUAAGUCUGAUGUGAAAGCCCUGGGCUCAACCUGGGAAUGGCACUGGAUACUGGCGAGCUAGAGUGUGGCAGAGGGUAGUGGAAUUCCUGGUGUAGCAGUGAAAUGCGUAGAGAUCAGGAGGAACAUCCGUGGCGAAGGCGACUGCCUGGGCCAACACUGACACUGAGGCACGAAAGCGUGGGGAGCAAACAGGAUUAGAUACCCUGGUAGUCCACGCCCUAAACGAUGCGAACUGGAUGUUGGGUGCAAUUUGGCACGCAGUAUCGAAGCUAACGCGUUAAGUUCGCCGCCUGGGGAGUACGGUCGCAAGACUGAAACUCAAAUGAAUUGACGG
rnacentral:rRNA from 1 species